rnacentral:tRNA from 1 species
GGGGAUUUAGCUCAGUGGUAAAGCACUUGCCUAGCAAGCACAAGGCCCUGGGUUCAGUCCCCAGCCCCG